AUUGAACGCUGGCGGCAGGCCUAACACAUGCAAGUCGAACGAGUGGCGGACGGGUGAGUAAUGUCUGGGAAACUGCCCGAUGGCGGGGGAUAACUACUGGAAACGGUAGCUAAUACCGCAUACCAUCGGAUGUGCCCAGAUGGGCUUAGCGAGUAGGUGGGGUAACGCCUCACCUAGGCGACGAUCCCUAGCUGGUCUGAGAGGAGGACCAGCCACACUGGAACGAAGACACGGGCCAGACUCCUAGGUGGGGCAGCAGUGGGGAAUAUUGCACAAGGGGCGCAAGCCUGAUGCAGCCAUGCCGCGUGUAUGAAGAAGGCCUUCGGGUUGUAAAGUACUUUCAGCGAGGAGGCGUUACUCGCAGAAGAAGCACCGGCUAACUCCGUGCCAGCAGCCGCGGUAAUUC
rnacentral:rRNA from 1 species